CCGAGCCGGCGGCGGGGCAGGGGCUGGGCAUGAGGCCGCGCCGCGACCGGAGCGCGGGCCACGGCUGCGGCGGCGAUGAGCGACAUAGUGGAGAAGACGCUGACGGCGCUGCCGGGACUCUUCCUGCAGAACCAGUCGGGUGGCGGGCCCGCGGCCGCCAAGGCGUCCUUCUCCUCCCGGCUGGGCGGCCUGGUCCGCGGCAUCACCGCGCUCACCUCCAAGCACGAGGAAGAGAAAUUAAUCCAGCAGGAACUGAGUAACCUGAAAGCAACUGUUUCUGCUCCUACUACAACUUUCAAAAUGAUGAAGGAAUGUAUGGUGAGACUUAUAUAUUGUGAAAUGCUUGGAUAUGAUGCUUCCUUUGGCUAUAUACAUGCAAUCAAGUUGGCACAACAGGGAAACCUUUUAGAAAAAAGAGUAGGUUAUUUGGCUGUUUCUUUAUUUCUACAUGAAAGUCAUGAACUGUUGCUUCUCCUUGUGAAUACAGUUGUAAAGGACUUGCAGAGUACUAACCUGGUAGAAGUAUGUAUGGCACUUACUGUCGUCAGCCAGAUUUUCCCUCGAGAAAUGAUUCCAGCUGUACUUCCAUUAAUAGAAGAUAAACUUCAACAUUCUAAGGAGAUUAUACGAAGAAAAGCUGUCCUAGCAUUAUAUAAAUUCUAUCUCAUUGCUCCUAAUCAAGUACAGCAUAUCCAUAUUAAGUUUCGGAAAGCACUUUGUGACAGAGAUGUUGGGGUCAUGGCUGCUUCCUUGCACAUAUACCUUAGGAUGAUUAAGGAGGAUUCAUCUGCAUAUAAAGACUUGACUGGGAGUUUCGUAACAAUUUUGAAGCAAGUGGUUGGAGGAAAACUCCCAGUAGAUUUCAAUUACCACAGCGUACCAGCACCAUGGUUACAAAUUCAGCUGUUGAGAAUACUAGGGCUUCUAGGAAAAGAUGAUCAAAGGACAAGUGAAUUAAUGUAUGAUGUUCUGGAUGAAUCCUUACGAAGAGCUGAGUUAAAUCACAAUGUCACAUAUGCUAUUCUGUUUGAAUGUGUACAUACAGUCUAUUCUAUUUAUCCUAAAUCAGAAUUACUUGAGAAGGCUGCCAAGUGCAUUGGAAAAUUUGUUCUGUCACCUAAGAUAAAUCUCAAAUAUUUAGGGCUGAAGGCUCUUACCUAUGUUAUCCAACAGGAUCCUACUCUGGCUCUUCAACACCAGAUGACAAUAAUUGAAUGCUUAGACCAUCCUGAUCCCAUUAUUAAAAGAGAGACUCUGGAACUUCUUUACAGAAUUACUAAUGCACAGAAUAUAACAGUGAUUGUCCAGAAAAUGCUUGAAUAUUUACAUCAGAGCAAAGAAGAGUAUAUCAUCAUCAAUUUGGUUGGCAAAAUAGCUGAGCUGGCUGAGAAAUAUGCUCCUGAUAAUGCGUGGUUUAUUCAGACAAUGAAUGCUGUAUUUUCAGUGGGAGGAGACGUGAUGCAUCCUGAUAUUCCCAGUAACUUUCUGAGACUGCUAGCAGAAGGUUUUGAUGAUGAAGCAGAAAAUCAACAAUUAAGGCUUUAUGCAGUUCAGUCUUAUCUCACUUUACUAGAUGUGGAAAAUGUGUUCUAUCCACAGAGAUUUCUUCAAGUUAUGAGUUGGGUGUUAGGGGAGUAUUCCUACCUCUUACAUAAGGAAACACCAGAGGAAGUGAUAACCAAGCUCUACAAGUUACUUAUGAGUGACUCCAUUUCCUCAGAAACAAAAGCGUGGAUAAUUGCUGCUGUGACCAAGUUGACACCCCAAGCACACUCUUUUAAUAUAGUUGAGAGAUUAAUCGAGGAAUUUACUACAUCUUUGGAUACUUGUUUGAGACAGCAUGCAUUUGAAUUAAAACAUUUGCAUGAGAAUGUGAAAUUUAUGAAGAGCUUGCUUCCAGUUGAUAAGAGUUGUGAAGACAUGGUGGUAGAUGCUUCCUUAUCUUUUCUGGAUGGUUUUGUGGCAGAGGAACUAAGUCAGGGGGCAGCACCUUACAAACCUCACCACCAACGGCAGGAGGAAAAGCUUUCUCAGGAAAAAGUUCUCAAUUUUGAACCAUAUGGACUCUCCUUUUCUUCAUCUGGCUUCACUGGACGACAGUCUCCUGCUGGCAUUUCUCUUGGUUCAGAUUUAUCUGGGAAUAGUACAGAGACCGGGCUGAAAGAGACAAAUAGCUUGAAGCUGGAAGGUAUAAAGAAAUUGUGGGGGAAAGAGGGCUAUCUUCCCAAGAAGGAAAGCAAAACUGGUGAUGAAACAGAAGCUCCUCCAGUUCCUCAAGAGAGUAUAAUAAUGGAGAGUGUAGAUCAUACUGUAACAAAAAAGGAUCAGUCUCAAGUCCUUACCCAAUCUAAAGAGGAGAAAGAAAAGCAGCUGCUGGCGUCAUCAUUAUUUGUUGGGCUAGGAUCAGAAAGUACAAUUAAUUUGCUAGGAAAAGCAGAUACCAUUUCUCACAAGUUCAGAAGGAGAUCAAAAGUCAAGGACACCAAAAGUGGGGAACCAACCACUGCUCAAAAUAUGACCCGUUCUUCCUUUAGUUCUUCAUCAAAUGUGACUUAUGAAGAAGAUUAUUAUUUGGAUAAUUUGCAGGAUAGUGGAGACAAAGAAUUAAAGAAACUUUCUCUCAAUUCAGAACUUUUGGAUUCUGAGUCACUUGCAGAACUGCCCUUGGUUGAGAAAGUCUCAAAUUGCAGGCUGUCUACACCCUCUUUGUUUGCUGAUAACAACAUGGAAGUUUUUCACCCUCCUCAAUCCACUGCAGCCUUAGUUGCCAAUGAAAUCUCUUUAGCUUCUUCUUUGUUGGAAGAAACUACUGAACACAUGCAUUCAGAUCUUAUGGAGGUCUGUAAUAAUGAAAUCAUAUCAGUGUCUUCUUACAAAAUUUGGAAAGAUGAUUGUUUGUUGAUGGUCUGGUCAGUUUUUAAUAAGAGUGGUUUGGAACUGAAAAGUGCUAACUUAGAAAUUGCUCCUGCAGAAAAUUUCAAGAUCACUGAGCAUCCUGGAUGCUGCUUGCCUGUGAUAGAAGCAGAAAGCACCAAAAACUUUCAAUACAGUGUGCAGAUGGAAAAACCUUUUACAGAAGGGAAUCUUUCUGGUUUUGUAAAUUAUCAAGUGAUGGAUACUCAUUCUGUUCAGCUCGAAUUUUCAGUAAAAUUAUCACUAUUAGAUUUCAUUAGACCAUUAAAAAUCUCAACUGAAGACUUUGGCAAACUCUGGUUGUCCUUCGCAAAUGAUGUGAAACAAAAUGUAAAGAUGUCAGAAUCUCAAGCUGCUCUGCCUUCUACCUUAAAGGCCCUGCAACAGGAACUAAGACUUCAUGUUGUUGACAUUAUAGGCAGUGAAGGGCUAUUGGCCUGUCAGCUGCUCCCAUCCAUCCCCUGCUUGCUGCAUUUCCGGGUUCAUGGUGACAUGUUAGCCCUGUGGUUCAGAUCCUCCUGCUCUACUCUUCCUGACUAUUUACUGUAUCAGUGUCAAAAGGUGAUGGAGGGAUCCUAGCAGAAGUUUUGCUUAUAUUUUACUCCAUCAAAAUAAAUGGUUUACAUGGAUAAACUUAUUUACCAAAGUGAAAAGGACUCAUGGUACUUCUAAUGAAAAUGGGGAUUAUUGCAAGUUGUGGUUUUAUGUGUUUUCUUUAUGAUUCCUGAUCAAGAAAGAUCCCCAAGAAACUGUACCCCUAACCUUUUACUCAGGAUUGUACAGUAUGUUUGGGUCCCAAAAAGUGACCUAAGCUUAUGUUAUAAACUGCUAAUGAUUUAUAUAUCACUUAGUGUAGAGGGACUGAAAAUAUUUAUUUUGUUAUAAAUAAUUUUAUAGCAGAUUUACUCUAGUGCUAGAUGAUUUAUAGUGAAGCCAACUCAGUUCUCUGCAUUAAUGAGGGGAGACAUGAACUUAAUCCCAAAUUGAAUUCAUAUUUGGCUUUGGAAUGCAGUGUAUGCUUUUUGGUAGGCAAGUCAUUACUUUCAAUAAUGUUUUGCUUAGAUCAGUAUUGAAGUAAGUUGGCACAGCACACACUAAUAGUUAAGGAGAUCGAUGAAUAUGUUGGAUAUUGGGGGGAUCCAAUCUGUGGUACCAUUUUUAUUGUAGAUAACUUGUUACACAUAAUUGCAGACAAUUUGGCUACAGAAUUUGUUUUCCACUUGUGUUUAUUUUUAAAACUCAAAGUGAAUCACUGUAUUUUUGUGUUAAAAACUCAGAGCCAUUUACAGAAUAUUGUCGUAUAGAAACAAAGCCUGUAAGAGCACGCAGUACUAAAGUAAACUUACGGCAAAUAUCUUAGUUACCACUUGGGUUUUUUUUUUUUGGCAAAUUAAAAUUUGUAAUUAGAGUAUAAACUGCAAAACCAUCUUUCCUGGGCUUUGAAUCCACUAGUACUCAAUGGAUAUAACCAGAAGAGUGACUAAGUAUACCAUACAGGUUCUUCAGUAAAAUAUUGUAUAUGAUUUUCAUGUUAUGGUUGUGCCUAUAUGUCCUCUGUCAGAAAAGAGUUUAAGCCUAAUAUGAAUGAUAGACCAGAAUCCUGAGAUUAUACAUUAAUGUUAAAAACUAAAGUAGUAUUUUAUAAAACCUUAUGGUGCUGUGGAAAAUAUUUAUUAUUUCACUUUUUCUGAUACUUCACCAUGGAAACUAUUCAGGUAAUAUAGUUUUAAGUCAUUGCAGUUAAUACUCUGGUUAAUUGGUAGUUUAUCACCCAUUGGUACUGUUUAUCACCCAGGUAUAGAAUUGUGGUUUUAGGUUAUUCGUUAAUCAUAGCCGAUAAAGAUGCUGAGGGGAUUCCCCAAAGCUGGUAGAUUUCCUUAGUCAUUUGUGUUUAGCAUAUCUCUCCCUAAAAACAAAAGCAGCAUUUAAAAAAUUAAUUUUUAAGUUACUCACUAAAAAAAAAUAACAUCUUGUAAAUUUCAUGCUUUUAAAAAACAUACAGUAAAACCUUGCUACAAGAGCGGUAAGUGGCUAGAAUUUCCUGAGUAGGUUUCUCCUUUUGAAUAGAUGAUCAGAUUCAUCCUCAAGCUCCUGCCAUUGUCAUGAUGAAAGGAAUGUGAAUGAUGGUGGAGUGGUGGACACUGGUGGCUAGACUCAUCAACUUUCUCUUUAUUCCUGCCUCUGUCAGCAGCACCCUCCCACCCCACCUGGUUCUGCUGAUACUCUGACAGAGAGAUAGAAAGUGCCCCCCCUCACUUUGCAAGGAAAUGUAGAGUGUGGCAAAAGAGGUGCUUCAACUUUUUGUGUCUCUGCUUCCAUGUAUUUGUAUGGUCACCAAGGCUGGGUUGAGUGUGGAACAGUGGGUAUAGGUGCCCAGCAAGCAGAUGGACAGCUAGCUGGGAGAGAUUACACUAAGCUACUGUGGGUGGCAGCAGUAGUUGCCAUGAGAGACAUGCUUGGCCUACAGUGCUAAUGGUGGGAAAUGUGUAAUGGUAGGUUAGGUCUGGGAGCAUGAUUUUGGGUCUGCCAGGGGGAAGAUGGUGUCGCUUUUGUUCUUUCUAAACUCAAUACAUGAAAAGUAGGGUAACAGGGUUUCUACUGAAAUGUUUAGUAGGGUGUUUACAUUUUUAUAUUUUUAUGGUUUAAAAAAAAAACCAGUAAUAGGAAAGAGUAGAUUUUAAAGAACUUCAGAGCAGCAAAUAUUCUGCCUAAACUAAUUAAUGUUUUAAGUUCUAGAUCAGGCAUCACCAACCUUUUUUGCAUUGUAGGAGAUGUGACUAUGAAGUAGGAAGAAUGAGUUUUGUUGGCAGAUCGUCUCUUUACCUUAUACUCAUAAGUUAGUCAAGUAAAGGGGCAACAUCUGGAGUGAGAGCUAUUGGUGGGGAGACUCAGCUGUGUGAGUUCUGUGCUGGGCAUCUUUGGUGAGAAUGCAGGUGGCAACAAGUGUGACUCUGGGGAGAAUAAAGGGAAGACAGGAAAGAAGGAUCAAUCUCCCACCAGAAAUAGUCCCCGUGGCGUCAGGCAGAUUAGUCUCAGGGGAAUGUGGACCCCGAGUAAGGGUCCUUCUGAAAAAACUGCAGGUGGAAGCUGAGCAAUUACCAAGUGCUAAUGUGCCAAGCAUGCCAAGCACAGCAUACGCUCUGCAGCAGAGCAUUAUUUGAAAAAAUAUUCUGUUAUCUACCAAAACAAUUGUGAAAAUGCAGUAUUUUAUUUUUUCCUUCAUUUUAAUUCAUGUCACAAAUAUUUUAAAAUAUCGAGCUUCUUUUUUUUUUUAAUGGAUAAAUGUGGUCUUUGUCUCAUGAUUGUGAGCCACUAAAAGUGCAUUGAACCUAUUCACAUGUCUUUUAAGGUGUUUUUUGUUUUAAAAAUUUAGGAGGGAAAAAUGCAAAUGAGUAACAACUUACUAAGCACUGAUUACCUUAUUUUGGAGUUGAAUUCUGUAAUUUGAAAAAAUUCAGUUAAACAUGUAAUAAAUACAAAGUGAUCUGUAUUGUUCUUUGGUCUAUAUUUUCUUUAUCAUCUAAAUAACUGAAUAAAGGUAAUCCUAUUCAUUAACUAGGUAGGCAUUAGCUAAAAAGAGCAAAAGCAACUGGAAUGGGAUGAAAAGAGUAGUAUACUCAUUACAGCCCUGAAGAAUGUCAUUUAAUUUGUUAAAAGUAAAGAUACUGCUCUUUCUUUGUUACGUUCAGAGAGAACUUUAUGGGCUUCUGACAGGCUAGAGUAUGGAUCGAUCAGCAGGUGCCUGUCCAUAUCCCCUGCUUUCAUCUUAGCCUGACCAGAGCAUUCAAAGCAGAGUGUUUUGUUUCUGUAUUGCCUCUCCUCAAGAUGCAAGAAACACGAAAACAGUAAGCUCUCCCAGUGAGUGAAACGCCAAACUGAUGGUGAUAAACAGCAGGAAGAUCUUACCAAGCCAAGGGUGAGUGGGCAGAAGAGAGGCAGAUGAGCUUCAGCAUGGUAAGAGCCAGGUAAUACAUUCUGGAAAAAAUAAAUGAUGGUUAUGAAAGAUGACAGGCUUUCAGCUGUCAGCUCCAGCCCAGAGAAGAGCUCUGAGCAUCAGCCCAGGAUGUGUUGUGGCAGACAGGGGAUGGGGAACAGACUCAGCUCUUCCCUCUUUACUCUCAGGACGUGGUAGCUUCUCUACCUGUGGUUGAGGAGCGUGUAGAAAACUUGUAUAUGAGUAUAGAUAGCUGUGUCAAAAUUAUACAACUAUCUGUAGUAGCCAGCAGUCACACAAUAUCACUUCACUUCUGUAAACUGCUUAGGAUAAUGGCAAGGAAGAGAGUUAGCUAAAAUGUUAUGUAGAAGUUAGGGGCGGAGAUGGUACCCUGAGAAAAACAAUCUGUGGUGCUUAAUAAGCACCAUCUGUCAAAGCAGGAGGCCCAGAGUACAAGGAAGGUGGGAGGAAAGUCCCCAGGGCAUGGGGAAGGGUAAGACCUGGGCAGAGGGGAUCGGUGAUAGUCCAAGCUUCUGGCACUCAACCACUUACACUUAACUGUUAUUUAUUUUUAUUUUUAUUAGAGUGUAGUUGAUUUACAAUGUUGUGUUAGUUUCAGGUGUACAGCAAAGUGAAUCAGUUAUACAUAUACACAAAUCCACUCUUUUUUAGAUCCUUUUCCCAUAUAGGUCAUUACAGAGUACUGAGUAGAGUUCCCUGUGCUAUACAGUAGGUCCUUAGUAGUUAUCUAUUUUAUAUAUAGUGGUGUGUGUAUGUCAAUCCCAAUCUCCCAAUUUAGCUAUUGGAAAUAAAGUUCAAGCAAGCCUCCUUGAGACGGAGCAGCCUUACAGACUACUUUGAAUGCAGACUUUCACAGUGAGCACCCAUCCUUCUGCUCACCUGCACAUCCCCCCAGGAAAGCUGACUGGGCCAGUCAUGUCCCUUGUGCUCUGUCCUUCACAGCCACUAAGGGGCCAGGAGCCAGGGGGGAGAGUGACAUCCUUCCUCCUCCCUUCCUGCUUCCUUGUCUGUUCUCUGGGUGAAUGAUAAGGAAAGGGUUGGCUGUGGGGGUGAGGUGGUCUGCAGGGUGGGAUAUCUAUGACAAGGAUAACACCUUCUAGAGAAGACAUUGCUUCUGCUUAAGUUCUAGGUCCCAUGUAGCUACGGGGACAAAACUGUUAAGGAACCUUAAGUGGUUUUUUUUUUGCAAUGCAAACAGAACACUGCUACAGUUUCCAGAAGGACUAAUUGAGUUGUUGGAUCUCUAGUGGAGUCAAACCAGAAAACAUUUUCCUGCUCUUGUAUACGACUGUGGUUUGUAUACUGCCGGAAUAUUAAAGAAAAAAGACGGCACUGGAGGAGGUACAUUCAAAUGAAAUGGUCAAGGGAUGGUGGGGCCUUUGAGUUAGAGACAAGCAAAAAUCCUGAUCCUCCCCUCCCCCCACAGGAAAUGAUCAAAGCUUGGCAGCCCAUGAAAAAUGCCUGUAGGUCUAAUCCCUUUCAUACGUGAAUGAGAUGGCAUCUUUCAGGCUUAAGAAAGGUAUUUUGGGAUACUUUAAAAGGCAUCCCAGUAAAACUUAGAUGACCUGGGAGGGCUAGGAAAUAGACUUUUCUGACUGAGGGUUAAUCCAGCACACCCUUGAGGGCUUCUUGGGUCUGGUUCUUUUCCCACCCUUCAAGAGAGUCUUGAGGACAUAUCCUCUGGGCUCACCCCUGCUGCUGAGAAGACCUGGGGCCCCCAAAUUUCCACCACCUGCAAUAAGAAGCAAGCAGCUUGUGGGUCCUGUGGGUAGGUCGCCAUGAUUUGAAGGGCAGCAGCCCGCACCAGACACCACAAGAGGGUGUGCAAAAUGAUAACACUAGAACCUUUCAUUUGUUUCCUUGUUUUCUAAUGAGAUGGAUUAAGCUUUACUAAUAUUUAACAUUCUGGCUGAUCUUGGGACCCACUGGUGUGUGGCAUUCUAAGGAAGGACGGGAAGAGCCCCCUGCUCCCUGGGUUUGGGGGAGUGUUUAGUGUGUAUCUCUCAUGUGCUUAUUCCUUUUCAGCAGUUUUGAUUUAUUUUGGCAUAUGUUUAUGUGUGCUUGGUUAAAUAGACUCACUGAUUAUAUUAUUUAGUUCUCACUAAACUAACCCUUAUGAAAUGGACCAAUGAUUUCAAAAGAUUCCUGCAAGAAACAAAACUGAGGCCUGACGACAAUACGCUAAUCACAGCAGCACAAGUGAGUAGCAAGGCAGAUGGCGGACCUGACGAUAAUCCUCCUCAUCGUAAGAGCUUUCCUGCAGCCAAAUUACAAGAUCUAACUGCACUUCAGAAGUCGCUGUGUCUCUGUCUCAUCCAUGGUUUUGUAUGUUUGCCUCAUGAGUAUGCCUGCAUCAGCAUUACAUUGUUCAGAGUGUUUUCAAACUUCAGGUAAAGGUGUCACGUUGCACAGAUCCUUCUGCAUCUCUUCAUUCAACAUCAUUCUUGCAAGAUUUAUCUAAUUAGUCAUCUCAUUGCUUAUAUGACUAUAUUCUAUAUCCAUGUUUUUCUGCAAGCAAAUAAGUCCAGAGUCGUGUCUCCUUGUGCACACACACAACAGCCUCCCAGGUUCUAUACCUAGAACUCGACUGCCCGGUCUGUACCACAGCUGCCAGUUGCUUCCAGCGAGAUUGCACUAAUUUUCACUCCCAGCAGCAGUGUAUGAGUUCCUGUGGAUCUACUUCCUCAUCAACACUUCAGAUAAUCCACCUUUAAAGGUUUUGCCAAUUUGCUAAGUACAAAAUGGUAUCUUGCUUUAAUAUGCAUUUUCCUGAUUGCUGCUGACAGUCAAUAUAUUUUUGUGUCUAUUGAGCAGUCAGGUCUUUCUCAUCUGUAAAUUGCUUAUUCAUAUAGUUAUUUUCCUCCUAAUUGGAACUGUAUGUCUUUUUUUGUUAAUUUGUAGGAAUUUUUAUGU